rnacentral:lncRNA from 1 species
GGUGACGAUGGUAACGCGGAAGCCGUACUGGUCUGCAAUGUAGUUCACGUGACGGAAGACGCCGUUGACAUCUCUGUAUCCGUAUGCGCCUGUGUUCGUGUUCUGUGCGUCCGCCCUCUCAAUUCGAUACUGCUGGUUGCCCUCGUGGUCGGCGAUGUUGUAGUCAAACUUAUACG